GCGGCGGACGGGUGAGUAACACGUGGGCAACCUGCCUUAUACAGGGGGAUAACAUAUUGAAAAGUAUGCUAAUACCGCAUAAGCGCACAGCAUCACAUGAUGCAGUGUGAAAAACUCUACCACUUACAGAUGGACCCGCGUCUGAUUAGCUAGUAGGUGAGGUAAUGGCUCACCUAGGCGACGAUCAGUAGCCGACCUGAGAGGGUGAUCGGCCACAUUGGGACUGAGACACGGCCCAAACUCCUACGGGAGGCAGCAGUGGGGAAUAUUGCACAAUGGGGGAAACCCUGAUGCAGCGACGCCGCGUGAAGGAUGAAGGUUUUCGGAUCGUAAACUUCUAUCAGCAGGGACGAUAAUGACGGUACCUGACUAAGAAGCCCCGGCUAACUACGUGCCAGCAGCCGCGGUAAUACGUAGGGGGCAAGCGUUAUCCGGAAUUACUGGGUGUAAAGGGUGCGUAGGCGGUAAUGUAAGUCAGGUGUGAAAGCCCGAAGCUCAACUUCGGGAUUGCACUUGAAACUACAUAACUAGAGUACAGGAGAGGUGAGUGGAAUUCCUAGUGUAGCGGUGAAAUGCGUAGAUAUUAGGAGGAACACCAGUGGCGAAGGCGGCUUUCUGGACUGUAACUGACGCUGAGGCACGAAAGCGUGGGGAGCAAACAGGAUUAGAUACCCUGGUAGUCCACGCUGUAAACGAUGAAUACUAGGUGUCGGGGGUCAAAGCCCGGUGCCGCAGCUAACGCAUUAAGUAUUCCGCCUGGGGAGUACGGUCGCAAGACUGAAACUCAAAGGAAUUGACGGGGGCCCGCACAAGCAGCGGAGCAUGUGGUUUAAUUCGAAGCAACGCGAAGAACCUUACCAGGUCUUGACAUCCCUCUGAAUGGCGCUUAGCAGCGCAGGUCUUUCGGGACAGAGGAGACAGGUGGUGCAUGGUUGUCGUCAGCUCGUGUCGUGAGAUGUUGGGUUAAGUCCUGCAACGAGCGCAACCCUUAUCUUUAGUUGCCAGCAUGUAAUGAUGGGGACUCUAAAGGGACUGCCGGUGACAAACCGGAGGAAGGUGGGGAUGACGUCAAAUCAUCAUGCCCCUUAUGAUCUGGGCUACACACGUGCUACAAUGGCUGAAACAAAGGGAUGCAACAACGUAAGUUUAGCAAACCCCAGAAAAGUCGUCCCAGUUCGGAUUGUAGUCUGCAACUCGACUACAUGAAGUUGGAAUCGCUAGUAAUCGCGAAUCAGAAUGUCGCGGUGAAUUCGUUCCCGGGUCUUGUACACACCGCCCGUCACCCCAUGGGAGUUGGGAGCGCCCGAAGCCGGUAUUCUAACCGUAAGGAGGAAGCCGUCUAAGGCGAGACCAAUGACUG
rnacentral:rRNA from 1 species